ACGGGGUGCAGCAGGCGCGAAACCCUCGCAAUGCGCGAAAGCGUGACGAGGUUAGCCCGAGUGCCGUCCGCUGAGGAUGGCUUUUACUCGGUGUAAGGAGCCGAGGGAAUAAGGGGAGGGCAAGUCUGGUGUCAGCCGCCGCGGUAAUACCAGCUCCCCGAGUAAUGGGGACGAUUAUUUGGCCUAAAGCGUCCGUAGCCAGUCUAACAAGUCUCUCGUCAAAUCUGACGACCUAAUUGUCAGGGUGCGAGAGAUACUGUUAGACUAGAGGGCGAGAGAGGUCGACGGUAGUCCCGGGGUAGGGGUGAAAUCCUAUAAUCCCGGGAGGACCACCAGUGGCAAAGGCGGUCGACUAGAGCGUGCCUGACGGUGAGGGACGAAAGCUGGGGGAGCGAACCGGAUUAGAUACCCGGGUAGUCCUAGCUGUAAACGAUGCAGGCUAGGUGUUGGGGCGGCUACGAGCCACCCCAGUGCCGCAGGGAAGCCGUUAAGCCUGCCGCCUGGGAAGUACGGUCGCAAGGCUGAAACUUAAAGGAAUUGGCGGGGGAGCAC
rnacentral:rRNA from 1 species